rnacentral:rRNA from 1 species
GAUCAUGGCUCAGGAUGAACGCUGGCGGCGUGCCUAAUACAUGCAAGUCGAACGAGGUGCUUUUGUAGCAAUACGAGAGUAUCCUAGUGGCGAACGGGUGAGUAACGCGUGGAUGACCUCGCCCCAAAGUGUGGGAUAACAGUCCGAAAGGAUUGCUAAUACCUCAUGUGGUUAUCGGUUUUAGAAAGCGAUAACUAAAGUAGCAAUGCGCUUUGGGAGGGAUCUGCGUCCCAUCAGCUAGUUGGUGAGGUAACGGCUCACCAAGGCGACGACGGGUAGGGGACCUGAGAGGGUGGCCCCCCACAAUGGAACUGAAACACGGUCCAUACACCUACGGGUGGCAGCAGUAGGGAAUAUUGCUCAAUGGGCGAAAGCCUGAAGCAGCAACGCCGCGUGUGCGAUGAAGGCCUUCGGGUCGUAAAGCACUUUUCUAAGAGAUGAGAAAGGACAGUAUCUUAGGAAUAAGUCUCGGCUAACUACGUG